rnacentral:rRNA from 1 species
CCUACGGGCGGCAGCAGUGGGGAAUAUUGCGCAAUGGGCGAAAGCCUGACGCAGCGAUGCCGCGUGAGGGAUGAAGGUCUUCGGAUCGUAAACCUCUGUCAGCAGGGAAGAACGGUCACUGUGCUAAUCAGCAGUGAAUUGACGGUACCUGCAAAGGAAGCACCGGCUAACUCCGUGCCAGCAGCCGCGGUAAUACGGAGGGUGCGAGCGUUAAUCGGAAUUACUGGGCGUAAAGCGCUCGUAGGCGGUAUGUCAAAUCAAGGGUGAAAUCCCCGCGCUCAACGUGGGAACUGCCUUUGAAACUUGCAAACUGGAGUGUGUGAGAGGAUAGUGGAAUUCCAGGUGUAGGAGUGAAAGCCGUAGAUAUCUGGAGGAACAUCAGUGGCGAAGGCGACUAUCUGGCACAUAACUGACGCUGAGGAGCGAAAGCGUGGGUAGCAAACAGGAUUAGAUACCCCAGUAGUC